GGAGAGUUUACGCAUAGUUUCGUUUUGUUAUCUCGUCGGUUACCACGCGUCGAAGUAACCUGUAGUGGUUGAUCCGUGAACUGUGUCGGCGCAGUACUGUUGCUGAAGAAUCAUGGGACUCAUUCUCGGAGCUGCGGUCGGAGCCGGCCUGGCACUGCUGUGUCCGACUGUUGUCCUGGGAGCCCUAGGAUUCUCCGCAACAGGAGUAGUAGCAGGAUCGCUGGCGGCCAUGUGGCACAGCGCCAUCGGCGCAGUGGUGAAGGGAAGCUUGUUCGCGCUCCUUCAGAGCAUUGGAGCAGUUGGGCUACCAGCGUCUGUACAAGUGGCAUUGUGUGCGGUAGGUGCACUAUUUGGUGCAGCAACCUUGGUCUGAAGGAAAAGAAGAAGAAAGUCUGCAUUAUGUAAAUAUGCUGUGGCUGAAGUAAAAUGAA